rnacentral:rRNA from 1 species
AUAUCCUAAGAAUCCUGUAGAGAUAUGGGAGUGCUAGUUUACUAGAACUUAGAGACAGGUGCUGCACGGCUGUCGUCAGCUCGUGUCGUGAGAUGUUGGGUUAAGUCCCGCAACGAGCGCAACCCUCGUGAUUAGUUGCUAACAGUUCGGCUGAGCACUCUAAUCAGACUGCCUUCGUAAGGAGGAGGAAGGUGAGGACGACGUCAAGUCAUCAUGGCCCUUAUGGCCAGGGCUACACACGUGCUACAAUGGCUAGGACAAAGAGACGCGAUACUGCGAAGUGGAGCAAAUCUUAAAACCUAGUCUCAGUUCGGAUUGGAGUCUGCAACUCGACUCCAUGAAGCUGGAAUCGCUAGUAAUCGUAGAUCAGACAUGCUACGGUGAAUACGUUCCCGGGUCUU